rnacentral:rRNA from 1 species
ACGCUCGACACCUACGGGGCAGCAGUGGGGAAUAUUGCACAAUGGGGGAAACCCUGAUGCAGCGACGCCGCGUGAGCGAAGAAGUAUUUCGGUAUGUAAAGCUCUAUCAGCAGGGAAGAAACUGACGGUACCUGACUAAGAAGCACCGGCUAAAUACGUGCCGGCAGCCGCGGUAAUCUGAGCGGGCUGGCAAGGC